GUCGCGUUCAAUAGCGCGGCCGGGUUUGGCGACCCGGAGUCAUAGGCGGACACACCGCCGCGAAAGCGGUUUUUUU
rfam:Laribacter hongkongensis HLHK9, complete genome.